AGAGUUUGAUCCUGGCUCAGAACGUACGCUGGCGGCACGCCUAACACAUGCAAGUCGAACGAAGUAGCAAUACUUAGUGGCAGACGGGUGAGUAACAUGUGGGUAUCUACCCUUUGGCCUGGAAUAACACGAGGAAACUUGUGCUAAUACCGGAUAAGUCUUUACGGAGAAAGCUUUAUGCACCAUUGGAUGAGCCCGCACUCGAUUAGUUUGUUGGUAGGGUAAUGGCCUACCAAGACUAUGAUCAAUAGCUGAUUUGAGAGGAUGAUCAGCCACAUUGGGACUGAGACACGGCCCAAACUCCUACGGGAGGCAGCAGUGGGGAAUCUUGCACAAUGGAGGAAACUCUGAUGCAGCGAUGCCGCGUGAGUGAAGAAGGCCUUUGGGUUGUAAAGCUCUUUCGUCGGGGAAGAAAAUGACUGUACCCGAAUAAGAAGGUCCGGCUAACUUCGUGCCAGCAGCCGCGGUAAUACGAAGGGACCUAGCGUAGUUCGGAAUUACUGGGCUUAAAGAGUUCGUAGGUGGUUGAAAAAGUUGGUGGUGAAAUCCCAGAGCUUAACUCUGGAACUGCCAUCAAAACUUUUCAGCUAGAGUAUGAUAGAGGAAAGCAGAAUUUCUAGUGUAGAGGUGAAAUUCGUAGAUAUUAGAAAGAAUACCAAUUGCGAAGGCAGCUUUCUGGAUCAUUACUGACACUGAGGAACGAAAGCAUGGGUAGCGAAGAGGAUUAGAUACCCUCGUAGUCCAUGCCGUAAACGAUGUGUGUUAGACGUUGGAAAUUUAUUUUCAGUGU
rnacentral:rRNA from 1 species